rnacentral:other from 1 species
UCUCCCCUGCGGUGUUCGGAACGGCUUAAAUUCCUUGAACCAAUAGUUGGUAACUGGUUGCCAGCCCCAUUGCCCCAGCGUGUCGCGCCGCUUGUCCGGCGCGCCCAACAGGCAAAGCCGGCGACCCCCUGAUCCGCAAGGUUCAGGAUGACCGGCCGGAUCGGCAUCUGCGGGGGACCC